CCACGGCCAUAUUUCUGAGGGGCUCUGAAGUCAGUUCCGGACCCCUGAGCGCGUACUUCCGCUUAGAUGCAAAAGUGGGAGGGGCCCUUAAAAGGGCAAUGACAUACGUUGGCCACUGUGAAAGGUCAGUUUCUCGAGUGCUUAACAGUGUUCCAACCAUUGUUUUAAGCACUUGAAAAAUACAUUUGUCUAUUUACUCCUCACAACAAACCCAUGAGCCAGAUAGUUUGUCUGAGGUCACACAAGUGGCAGAGCCUGAACCCUGUGCUGUCUACAUUCAUUCUGCAAUCAUUUCAUGUACUAUGCAUUCACUUUGCUCUGGGGCAGGCGCUGGGGAGAAAGGCAAGGCCAGAUAAUUGUUACACAACGUGAUGGAGGAAGCCCACGGGGUAGUGGCAACACAGGACCCAAACAGGGGAGCGGGGGCCCCGACUCACCUGGGUCCGUUGCAUUCCGUCGCCCCCUGGCGGCCCUCCCGGGAACUGACCCGUGGUGUCCUCUCGAGCCAUCCUGUCUCCGCGAGGGUUAAAGCAAGAUCGAGACUGAGAAGCUGGCGAAUCCGGUUCUGUUCGGCCGUUGCCCUGGCGAGUGACCUCGAUUCACCUUGCAGAACCGCAGUGACCUCAUCAGGGAGUUGAGGCAUGUGCUGGGUCAGUUUUUCCCCUAAACUCAACCAUUCAGAAAACUGGGACGCUUUUCUAAAUUCUCCACAGGCCAUUAAAAUUAUACAGGAAAGUGAUACGUAUGUUUAUUGCAUUCCUCAAUAAAAGCUGUAACAUAAUACGUA